CUGGUGUCUGUCCAAAGUGGGAUAUGAACAGAGCUUCGUCCCUGCCUCCAACAAUGCCUCAUGUGUCCCACUGAGCCCGAUCCUUUCCAGCACUCAAUGAUUUUAUGGAAAGAGUGGGAAGAUGUUUUGGCAUUAGACUCUAAGGAACUGGAACCACAUUUGCAGAAUUGAUAACAGAUGCUGGAAGUUGGAGCUGCUGCCUAUUAUUCUCUUGGAUUAAAACAGAGAGCCCCAGAGAGAAUUAAGCUUCAUCCCUGCCACCAACAAUGCCUCAUGCAUGAAGCAGAUGUUCACAUCAGCUGCACAGGCAGUCAAUCGAAUAACAAUAGCAUCAUUAUUGAAAGAUCACUGGGACACACCAUCCUCCAAGUUCUUCACGUGCACAGCCAAUUUCAGCCUCACGACAGUCCACGGGAUUGGUUCUUCAUAAUCGCUGCUUAACAUGUGAGGAAUCUGAGUCUUGGAAGGUUGGGGAAUGUUUUUCAGGUCAGAUCUGGAAGACUGGGAGAYGGCCCAGGUUGGCAUUAUGCUUUCUACUCUACGAAUAAGAGAAGGAUCUGGGUUGAUGGAGCAGCUCCAUCUGGAACAUGGCUGGGUUCAUGGCAGAGAUGAAAGAGAUCGUGUGAACCAUGCUGAGUCUGAACUCUUCUGCCUGGAAGUGACAAACAUCAUUUGCAUCGCACUUCAUUGGCUAAAGCAAGUCACCUGGCAAGCCUAGCGUCAAUGAGGGUGGGAAGCAUAAACCUCUCCCAAGAGGAGCAGCGAAUACAGGUGGUUCUUGAUUUAUCAUGGCUCGACUUACAGUGUUUGACUUUGUGAUGGUGUGGAAGUGAUUUGCAUUCAGUGGAAACUGUACUUUGAGUCACACCAUUAGUGUCUUCAUACAUGUACUUAGGGUAAUGAUGUCCAUCUCAUUCYAAUAUC